UACGUAGGGGGCAAGCGUUGUCCGGAAUCAUUGGGCGUAAAGAGUGUGUAGGCGGUGCUCUAAGUCUGUCGUGAAAUCUCCCGGCUUAACUGAGAGGGUGCGGCGGAAACUGGAAUGCUAGAGGGUGGGAGAGGAAAGCGGAAUUCCUGGUGUAGCGGUGAAAUGCGUAGAUAUCAGGAGGAACACCUGCGGUGUAGACAGCUUUCUGGACCACUUCUGACGCUGAGACACGAAAGCGUGGGUAGCAAACAGG
rnacentral:rRNA from 1 species